GUAUCUCCCCAGUGGGUUGGAAGUGUGGUCUCCCCGGAAGAUUUGAGAUCGGUGUCUCUUUAGCGAGCCUAAAGGUUGUCACGUCCCCAAUGGGAGUGUUAGGGGCUAGAAUGUUUCUCAGGGUGGAGGACGUUUCCCCGGCCCAAGCCAGUAUUGAAGACUAUUAGAGUUAUUUCCCCUGCAGAGAUGUCUAUGGACA
rnacentral:lncRNA from 1 species